GAUGAACGCUGGCGGCGUGCCUAAUACAUGCAAGUCGAGCGAACGGACGAGAAGCUUGCUUCUCUGAUGUUAGCGGCGGACGGGUGAGUAACACGUGGAUAACCUACCUAUAAGACUGGGAUAACUUCGGGAAACCGUAGCUAAUACCGGAUAAUAUUUUGAACCGCAUGGUUCAAAAGUGAAAGACGGUCUUGCUGUCACUUAUAGAUGGAUCCGCGCUGCAUUAGCUAGUUGGUAAGUUAACGGCUUACCAAGGCAACGAUGCAUAGCCGACCUGAGAGGGUGAUCGGCCACACUGGAACUGAGACACGGUCCAGACUCCUACGGGAGGCAGCAGUAGGGAAUCUUCCGCAAUGGGCGAAAGCCUGACGGAGCAACGCCGCGUGAGUGAUGAAGGUCUUCGGAUCGUAAAACUCUGUUAUUAGGGAAGAACAUAUGUGUAAGUAACUGUGCACAUCUUGACGGUACCUAAUCAGAAAGCCACGGCUAACUACGUG
rnacentral:rRNA from 1 species